rnacentral:rRNA from 1 species
UACGGAGAGGGCAAGCGUUGUUCGGAUUUACUGGGCAUAAAGAGCACGUAGGCGGACCUACAAGUCAGUUGUGAAAUCCCGGGGCUCAACCCCGGAACGGCAUCCGAUACUAUAGGUCUAGAGGAUGAAAGAGGAGAGUGGAACUUCUGGUGGAGCGGUGAAAUGCGUAGAUAUCAGAAGGAACGCCGGUGGCGAAAGCGACUCUCUGGUUCAUAUCUGACGCUGAGGUGCGAAAGCUAGGGGAGCAAACGGG